GGCCAGUUAGCUCAGUUGGUAGAGCAUGAGACUCUCAAUCUCAGGCUUGUGGGCUCAAGCCUGCAGUGGGCA
rnacentral:tRNA from 1 species